rnacentral:rRNA from 1 species
GACGAACGCUGGCGGCGUGCUUAACACAUGCAAGUCGAACGAAGUGGCGAACGGGUGAGUAAUACGUGGGUAACCUGCCCUCCUUUUUGGGAUAAGCCUUGGAAACGGGGUCUAAUACCGAAUAAAGGGGGCUGGGCUCGCGGCCUAUCAGCUUGUUGGUGGGGUGAUGGCCUACCAAGGCGGUGACGGGUAGCCGGCCGGAGAGGGUGACCGGCAACAUGGGGCGUGAGAGACGGCCAAGAGGCGUACGGGAGGCAGCAGUGGGGUAUAUUGCACAAUGGGCGAAAGCCUGAGGCAGGGACGCCGCGUGGGGGAUGAAGGCGUUCGGGUUGUAAAGCUCGGUCGAAAGCGAACGGGUAGGUGGAGAAGAAGCGCCGGCUAACUACGUGCCAGCAGCCGCGGUAAUAC